CGUGAGAUUUUGCUAAAAUGCAUCAUCAACAGCGGAUGGCAGCUUUGGGAACCGACAAGGAACUGAGCGACUUACUGGAUUUCAGCGCGAUGCGAAACAGCGAUUUGAAAAUGUUCCCAACAUCCAUGAUGUUUUCCCCUCCUGUUAGCAGUGGAAAGAACGGGCCGACCUCCCUGGGGAGCGGACAUUUCUCCGGCUCAAGUACGUCAGCCUUCU